AAUAGACCGAGUCGACACGUCUCUCAGUGGAUUUCUCCAGCAAUUUCAAGAUUUUACCGAGUUCCUGAGACACAACUACCACAAAAGUGCAAAUGGUAGCUCCAGACAAGCCAUUCUUAGAAGUCUACCUCUUCAAAAUACUUGAUGCACAUGCUGCUCUGUGUCAGAUACAACUAUGUUUUCCAGCAACAGGUACAUGCUAGCUGCAGACACACUAACGUCAAAUGAAAUCUACCUCCCCAAAAGAAGAUACGCAUGCUGGCUAUCAUCAAGUUUCAAGGAUGUUUUCAUCAAUCAGGCAACCUGCAUACAUGAAAUUGUCAGUGGAAGUCUACCUCUCCAAAACUGUCCAAAACUGGAUGCUUGAUGCAUGCUGCCCAGUGUAAGCACCAGAUCCAAGGAAAGGAAGAUUCUAUGCAUGCUGGCCACCAUCAGGAUUGAAUGAAGGAUGUUUUCAUCAACAGGCAAGCUGCAGACAUUGAAUUGUCAGUUGAAGUCUACCUCUCCAAACAUAGAUGCUUGAUGCACAUGCUGUCCAGUGUCAGAUACAACAAUAUCCUCCAGCAACAGGCCAGCUGCAGACACACCAUCAGUAGAUGAAGUCUACCUCUCCAUCAGAAGUAGAUGCAUGAAGCCCACCUUCAAGAUUCAAGGAUGUCUUCAUCAACAGUAAGACUUGCUACAGACAUGACGUCAGAUGAAGUAUACCUCUCCAAAAGUACAUGCAUGAUGCAAAUGCUGUGCCCUGUGCGCUAUGUCUACCUCAUCAAUCGCGAGGGUCACAUCUCCAGAGAGGUCUACUCAUCAACCAAGUAGAUGUCUGAGACCUGCAGCUGAUACGCAUCCUAACAAUGUGCAAUGAGUCUCGUAAAUGAACUGCUCUCUCUUUAAUAAAAGAUAUUUCUGUCUGAUUCAAAAGGUAUUUUCAUGAGAUCUGUCGGUGCCUAACAUUGGCCCAAUGUCUACACAUUAACAACGUAGAUGUGUGAAGCUAAAAACAGCAUGAGAACGCUGAUAUGCUUCAACCAAGUGUGUUGCAAAUAACCUUUACUACGAUCAUGAAAGGUUAAAAGAUUGAGGAGAGCAACGCUUCAAGGCAAUCUACGCAUCAAGUCAUUAUGGAUGAACAACCGACCAACUUGUUGAUUACAUUUGUAAACGCGUAGACUUU